rnacentral:rRNA from 1 species
ACGACUGCUGCUUAAGACUGGAUAGGAAGUUUUAAGGCAUCUUGAAACUUUUAAAAGACCCGCAAGGGUAUGCUGAGAGAUGGGCUUGCGGCACAUUAGUUAGUUGGUAAGGUAACGGCUUACCAAGACCAUGAUGUGUAGCUGGACUGAGAGGUUGAACGGCCACAUUGGGACUGAGAUACGGCCCAAACUCCUACGGGAGGCAGCAGUAAGGAAUUUUCGGCAAUGGAGGAAACUCUGACCGAGCAACGCCGCGUGAACGAUGAAGUAUUUAGGUAUGUAAAGUUCUUUUAUUAAAGAAGAAAAAAUGAUGGAAAAAUCAUUCUGACGGUAUUUAAUGAAUAAGCCCCGGCUAACUAUGUGCCAGCAGCUGCGGUAAUACAUGGGGGGCAAGCGUUAUCCGGAUUUAUUGGGCGUAAAGGGUGCGUAGGCGGUUUAAUAAGUCUAUGGUCUAAGUUCAACGCUUAACGUUGUGAUGCUAUAGAAACUGUUUGACUAGAGUUGGAUAGAGGCAAGUGGAAUUCCAUGUGUAGCGGUAAAAUGCGUAAAGAUAUGGAGGAACACCAGUAGCGAAGGCGGCUUGCUGGGUCUUAACUGACGCUGAGGCACGAAAGCGUGGGGAGCAAACAGGAUUAGAUACCCUGGUAGUCCACGCCGUAAACGAUGAGUACUAAGUGUUGGGUUAAACCAGUGCUGAAGUUAACGCAUUAAGUACUCCGCCUGAGUAGUACGUACGCAAGUAUGAAACUUAAAGGAAUUGACGGGACUCCGCACAAGCGGUGGAUCAUGUUGUUUAAUUCGAAGAUACACGAAAAACCUUACCAGGUCUUGACAUACUCUGCAAAGCUAUAGAAAUAUAGUGGAGGUUAUCAGGGAUACAGGUGGUGCAUGGUUGUCGUCAGCUCGUGUCGUGAGAUGUUGGGUUAAGUCCCGCAACGAGCGCAACCCUUAUCGCUAGUUACCAUCAUUUAGUUGGGCACUUUAGUGAGACUGCCAAUGAUAAAUUGGAGGAAGGUGGGGAUUACGUCAAAUCAUCAUGCCCCUUAUGACCUGGGCUACAAACGUGAUACAAUGGCUGUUACAAAGAGUAGCUGAAGCGUGAGUUUUUAGCAAAUCUCAAAAAAACAGUCUCAGUUCGGAUUGAAGUCUGCAACUCGACUUCAUGAAGUCGGAAUCGCUAGUAAUCGCGAAUCAGCAUGUCGUGGUGAAUACGUUCGCGGGGUUUGUACACACCGCCCGUCA